rnacentral:rRNA from 1 species
GACGUAGGGCGCGAGCGUUGUCCGGAUUUAUUGGGCGUAAAGAGCUCGUAGGCGGUUUGUCGCGUCGUCCGUGAAAACUCACAGCUUAACUGUGAGCUUGCGGUCGAUACGGGCAGGCUAGAGUUCGGUAGGGGAGACUGGAAUCCUGGUGAGCGGUGAAAUGCGCAGAUAUCAGGAGGAACACCGGUGGCGAAGGCAGGUCUCUGGGCCGAUACUGACGCUGAGGAGCGAAAGCGUGGGGAGCGAACAGG